rnacentral:rRNA from 1 species
AAUAGAUACCCGGGUAGUCCACGCCGUAAACGAUGAGUGCUAAGUGUUAGAGGGUUUCCGCCCUUUAGUGCUGCAGCUAACGCAUUAAGCACUCCGCCUGGGGAGUACGGUCGCAAGACUGAAACUCAAAGGAAUUGACGGGGGCCCGCACAAGCGGUGGAGCAUGUGGUUUAAUUCGAAGCAACGCGAAGAACCUUACCAGGUCUUGGCAUCCUCUGACAACUCUAGAGAUAGAGCGUUCCCCUUCGGGGGACAGAGUGACAGGUGGUGCAUGGUUGUCGUCAGCUCGUGUCGUGAGAUGUUGGGUUAAGUCCCGCAACGAGCGCAACCCUUGAUCUUAGUUGCCAGCAUUUAGUUGGGCACUCUAAGGUGACUGCCGGUGACAAACCGGAGGAAGGUGGGGAUGACGUCAAAUCAUCAUGCCCCUUAUGACCUGGGCUACACACGUGCUACAAUGGAUGGUACAAAGGGCUGCAAGACCGCGAGGUCAAGCCAAUCCCAUAAAACCAUUCUCAGUUCGGAUUGUAGG